ensembl:lncRNA
GUAAGAGUGAGGCUGGUCUUCUCCCUUGGAAAAAGGCCCAGAAUAAAAUGUAUUGUUGACUAACAAGCUUAUCGAUUUGUGUGUGUGUGUGUGAACCCUGCUUUUCUCUCUACGACUCUCCUGUUGGUUUGUCAAGGCAUCCUGUUGUCUUGGAAUUUCCCCUCUGGGGGUCGAUAAAGUCCAUUCAUCCAUGCAUUCAUAGAAUAUCACUGACACAAAAAUCCACCACAAAAUGAACAGAACACAGGACAUCUUGAAAAUCUUACAACGUAUAUAAUUGACACAAGGUUCCAGGAACAAACAGCAAAUUACACAUAUUGACUCAAAACUCUUUCUUCUUGCAUCUACCAUCACCAUGAACACAAAUCUCCAAAUGUAAAAAAAAAAAAAAAAAAAAUUUUUUUUUUGAAUUGCUAUGGUUUUCUUUCAAAUCGUCACCUUUCGGAAAUGCCUGCCACAUUCAACUUGUGAAGGGGAAAGAGUAGUGUCCAGGGCCACUGGUUAUAUCAGACCUAGGCUCAAAUAAUAUUUGAAAUAAUUUCAAAUACUUUAUCUGUGCUUGAUUGAGCUGGCCUGGGUUAAUGGACAAAAUAGGGCCAUAACUGCAAACCACGCCCAUCUGCAAAACCCCAGGCAUGCUAAAGAUUUCAAUAGUAUUUCAUCCCAAAUCUGACAUUGCUAUUUCACCCUUCUCAGACUGCAGCCAUCUCAGUGGUCCAUCUCUCUCUGCAUAAUCCUAAUCAGUAGACAUAUAUGGAGUGUCGACUCACCUAUCAAUCCACCAUCUUGUGAUCUCUGUCUUUGUGCAGAUUGCCAUCCUAUCGAAUACCUAGGCCUCUUACGUCAUAAAAGUGCAGCGUUUAAUAAGAGGCAGUGGACUUUGAACUAUUCAGAUUAGCAUGCGAGAGUGUUUGGAGGAGAGAGAGGGGGAUAAAGGGUGUUUGGAGGAGAGAGAGGGGGAGUAAGGGGUGUUUGGAGGAGAGAGAGGGGGAGUAAGGGUGUUUGGAGGAGAGAGAGGGGAGUAAGGGUGUUUGGAGGAGAGAGAGGGGAGUAAGGGUGUUUGGAGGAGAGAGAGGGGGAGUAAGGGUGUUUGGAGGAGAGAGAGGGGGAGUAAGGGUGUUGGGAGGAGAGAGAGGGGGAGUAAGGGUGUUUGGAGGAGAGAGAGGGGGGAUAAGGGUGUUGGGAGGAGAGAGAGGGGGAGUAAGGGUGUUUGGAGGAGAGAGGGGGAGUAAAGGGUGUUUGGAGGAGAGAGGGGGAGUAAGGGUGUUUGGAGGAGAGAGGGGGAGUAAGGGUGUUU